GAACUUUUAUUUCUUGGAAAAUGCGCUCAUUCAUAGCACAGCACAGUUAAGAGUUGGAGCUUGAGGCGAAAUUGGCAAGAAAGAUGGUGAAAAUUUGAGGAGUCUUAAGUGCCUGCUUUGACAAAAAGAAAGAUAGAUAGAAAGAAAGGGAGGGAGGGAGGGAGGGAGGGAGGAAGGAAGGAAGGAAGGAAGGAAGGAAGGAAGGAAGGAAGGAAGGUAGGUAGGUAGGUAGGUAGGUAGGUAAAAGGAAUGGACAAAUUCCAGAACAUCGUGCCAAAUGGUUUGAGACAAUCAAUUCUUUUCGACUUGGGGAACAAGCCCGCGAGGGAGAAAGUCUCGCCUCAGGGAAAGGUCACCGAUUUGAUUCUGAAGUCUCCAUCCAC